rnacentral:rRNA from 1 species
UACGAAGGGGGCUAGCGUUGCUCGGAAUCACUGGGCGUAAAGCGCACGUAGGCGGCUUUCUAAGUCAGGGGUGAAAUCCUGGAGCUCAACUCCAGAACUGCCUUUGAUACUGGAGCUUGAGUCCGGGAGAGGUGAGUGGAACUCCGAGUGUAGAGGUGAAAUUCGUAGAUAUUCGGAAGAACACCAGUGGCGAAGGCGGCUCACUGGCCCGGUACUGACGCUGAGGUGCGAAAGCGUGGGGAGCAAACAGG